rnacentral:rRNA from 1 species
CCUACGGGAGGCUGCAGUAGGGAAUUUUCGUCAAUGGGCGCAAGCCUGAACGAGCGAUGCAGCGUGAGUGAAGACGGCCUUCUGGUCGUUAAGCUCUGUUGAGGGGGAAAUAAGGCAGCAUCCGGAAAUGGGUGCUGACUGAUGGUGCGCCGCAAGAAAGUCACGGCUAACUACGUGCCAGCAGCCGCGGUAAUACGUAGGUGGCGUGCGUUAUCCGGAUUGAUUGGGAGUAAAGGGUGCGCAGGCGGUCCUGCAAGUCUGGAGUGAAACGGAUGAGCUCAAAGGAUGCAUGGCAUUGGAAACUGGAGGACUUGAGAGCAGGAGAGGGCGGUGGAACUCGAGGUGUAGCGGUAAAAUGCGUAGAUAUAUGGAAGAACACCAGUGGCGAAGGCGGCCGCCUGGCCUGUUGCUGACGCUGAGGCACGAAAGCGUGGGGAUCAAAUAGGAUUAGAUACCCGGGUAGUC